UCUGGUUGACCCUGCCAGUAGCAUAUGCUUGUCUCUGAGACUAAGCCAUGCAUGUCUAAGUAUAAAUUAAUUUUUACGGUGAAACUGCGGACGGCUCAUUAAAUCAGUUAUAACCUACUUGAUCGUGUGACUUUAUUCGGAUAACCCUAGUAAUUCUAGAGCUAAUACGUGCUAAAAGCCUUAACUUCCAGCAAUGGGGGAAGAGGUGUAUUUAUUAGAAACUAAACCAAUCAGCUUCGGCUGUUUGAGAUGAUUCAUAAUAACUCGGCAAAUUACGGGAAAAUUCCUGUGAUGAUUCAAACGGAUUUCUGACCUAUCAACUUUAGAUGGCAAAGUAGGGGUUUGCCAUGGUGACAACGGGUGACGGGGAAUUAGGGUUCGAUUCCGGAGAGGGAGCCUGAGAAACGGCUACCACUUCCGAGGAAGGCAGCAGGCGCGCAAAUUACCCAAUGCUAAUUCGGCGAGGUAGUGACAAGAAAUACCAAUGUAGGACCCAACGGGUACUACGUUUGGAAUGAGAACAAUUUAAAAACCUUAACGGGGUACAAUUGGAGGGCAAGUCUGGUGCCAGCAGCCGCGGUAAUUCCAGCUCCAAUAGUGUAUAUUAAAGUUGCUGCGGUUAAAAAGCUCGUAGUUGGAUUACGAAGUGGUGUUUAAAUGUCAUUUUGGUUUGUUUGUCUUUCGGGGCAUUCAGGUCAACUUGGCUUUUACUCACUGUUGUCAUUGUCUUUGCCCAAGGUAUAUGCCUUGUGUGCAUGGCAUUGACCUUCUAUUUUAUGGUAAUGUUGUAUCUUUCGGGGUACAUUCAUUCCAUAUAGUUUACUUUGAAAAAAUUAGGGUGUUUAAAGCAGGCGAAAAGGCUUCGGAAUAUAUUAGCAUGGGAUAAUAGAAUACGAUCUAGGUCGUAAUUUGUUGGUUUCUACGGCUUAGGUAAUGAUUGACAGGGAUAGUUGGGGUCGCUCGUAUUGAGUUGUCAGAGGUGAAAUUCUAGGAUUAACUCAAGACGAACUAAUGCGAAAGCAUUCGGCAAGGAUGUUUUCAUUAAUCAAGAACGAAAGUUGGGCGAUCGAAGAUGAUCAGAUACCGUCGUAGUCUCAACUGUAAACUAUGUCGACCGAGGAUCCGGUAGCGUUACAUGGAUGACCUUCCGGGCACUCUGUGAGAAAUCAUAAGUAUUUGGAUUUCGGGGGGAGUAUGGUCGCAAGGCUGAAACUUAAAGGGAUUGACGGAAGGGCACCACCAGGAGUGGAAUCUGCGGCUUAAUUUGACCCAACACGGGAAAACUUACCAGGUCCGGACACAGUGAGGAUUGACAGAUUGAGAGCUCUUUCUUGAUUUUGUGGGUGGUGGUGCAUGGCCGUUUUUAGUUGGUGGAGUGAUUUGUCUGGUUAAUUCCGUUAACGAACGAGACCUUAACCUAUUAAAUAGCUGCGCGAACCCAAAAAAAG
rnacentral:rRNA from 1 species